GCCCCUGUAGCUUAGUGGUAAAGCAUCCGUUUCGUAAGCGGAAGAUCAGGAGUUCAAAUCUCCUUUUGGGCA
rnacentral:tRNA from 1 species